AAUUGUCUUUUUAUAAGGUGGGUCCAGAUCCAUUUUUAGGUGAUUUCGAGUUCGAUUUCUAUCCAGAUCAUUUUUUUUGGUUGGGGAAGCUUCCUGAUGACGUCGAAGGCUUAAAUUAUGGAUUGGAUAGGUGUUUCAGGCUAAAAACAUAUUUUAAGUGCAAUUUUAAAUUUUUUGAGGCGAGGUUGAGUUGAUAAGUAAAGGUGAGGCUCAUGCACGUACAGAGAUUUGAACAUUGUUGGAAUUGAUUCUCGGACUCGAUUUUGGAUUUUGAGUUGGAAUCUUAAUUUGGAUCCAGAUCUUUUGGUUUUUGGAUCUACUUUGGAUGUAUGGUGGUUUAUUGGAUCUAUUUCCUAUUUUGGGUCUGAUUUUGCUUUUUGGGUUUAAUUACAGAUUUUGACUUUGUUUUUUCAGUUUGGGGUAUGAUUUUGGAUCUGGGACUCAGAUUUAGAUUUAGAUCUGGAUCUAAGCCUUGAAUUUGGGUUCAGAUAUAGUUCUAUUUUGGAUUUAGAGCUAAGAUUUGGAUUCAGAUAUGGAUCUAAGGAUCUGUUUUGGAUCUAGAGCUGCAAUAUGGGUUUGGAUAUGGACUUAAGGAUCUGCUUUGGAUAUAGAGCUGGAAUUUGGAUUUAGACAAGGAUCUAAGGAUUUUUUUGGAUCUAGAGCUGGAAUUUGGGUUCAGAUAUGGAUCUAAAGAUUUGUUUUGGAUCUAUAGCUAGAAUUUGGGUUCAGAUGGAUCUAAGAAUCUGUUUUGGAUUUAGAGCUGGAAUUUGGGUUCAGAUAUGGUUCUAUGGAUCUGUUUUGGAUGUAGAGCUGUGAUUUGUGUACUAGACCUAUAUUUGAUUUUGGAUUCAAAGCAUGGAACAAGUCUAAAUUGGGGUUGAGCUUGGCGGUCCAAAGUUUGAAAUUAGAUCCAAACGAGUCACAAGUGACCGAUCAUCAAAUCGGAAGAGAAAUUGAUCAAAAUGAAGGGAAAUUGAAGUGCUUGAGACCCAAAUUACAUCAUUAAAAGUUGUUGUAAAUUUGUCAAAUAUGUUGAAUAUAGUCUUUUUUGAAAAAUUUGGGGUGAUAACAUUUACAUUUCACCAUAUCUUGUUUUAUGUGGUCAAUGUGCCGCGCUUUUACAACCUAUUACUUGAGCAACUAUGGAUCUACUCUACAAACGUGGUGAUGACUUCAAUGUCCCAUUAAUGCAGAAAGUUGAGUAGAUAAAGAGUCGUGGUAUUAGUAGAACACCUGGAAGAAAGGCUACCUCAAUUGAUGAUCGUGUAAUUGGCAUGUGUGGUUGAGAUUCCAAGCAUCAUGCACGAGAAUGAAAUCUCUCUAAGAGCAUGGAGAAGCUCAAAUUGAGGUAAGCCAUGGAGCAAACAAUUCUAUGAUGUUAUUAUGGCAAGGGCCGAUGAUAUUUAAACUUGAAGGUGGAAUAAUGGCUGGAACAUCAACAGCCAUCCAUUGCGAACAAAUUUCAUGAAGAUGAAGAAGAGUUACCACUUGAGCCUUAAACACAGGUGUUAACCCUUUAAAGGUUAAUGAACAUGACGGCCUUGAGCCCUUGAAGCCACCAAGACAAAUCAGAAAGAUGGCACUCGACUACAAAGGGAAAAGUUCCAGAAACAAAAUGACAUUUGCCGAGCCAGUUGUAGUGGUCUGAACAUAUAGGGCGUGUUUGUUAACCAAGAAUUGCACUGUGGAUUAGGAAUGAGAAUUCCAAAUUCCACUUAUUCUUGAUUUCAAGCAAACAUGGCACAGUUUUAUCGAUCAUUAGCACCUUAAUUUGGGGUCAGUCUUCUGGCAAUCCCAUCGAACCUAGAGGGGUGUGAUGAACAUGCAUGGAUUAGUCCUUUUUCUUUCAGAUGGAUGAUGCCAACAUUGAUAGUCACUGGCAUCACAGCUGUUGGGUAGUGGUAGUGGCCAUGAGCCCUAACUGUAAGGGGGGCCACUUGCAGUUACGAGCUUUAAUGCUCACCUAAAAUCUCUCACUUACGUAACCGCUGCUAGGGUUGGGGAAAUCCUAAGGGGCUGGACUAUAUAUUCCUAGCCUAUCCAGAGUUUGAGUAACUCUCUAACACAUCAUCCGUGAGGAGCCCUUGAGAAGGAAACCCCUAAAUUAGUUUUCUUCUUCUUUCUCUUUCUUUUGUCUUGUUGGUUUCACAGGGAUAUUCGUUACACACUGGAGCCGUGGGAGAUUCUUCUGCACCGACUUCCGCUGCGACUCCCAUAAAUCCAUCAGUUGUAUCAGAGACAGGUUUAUCGAACACCAGGAUAUUCGUUGCACACUGGAGCCGUGGGAGAUUCUUCUGCACCGACUUCCGCUGUGACUCCCAUAAAUCCAUCAACAGCCUUCCUCCUGAAGGCCAACAAUUUCACAGACCCAUCUGCAUAGUGCUUGCAAACCUGAUGGAGAACACCUUCACCAUCUCAGCUCCCAACAAUUGAUCGUCAACGAUGCUUGUGAUGGAGGAGAAGGGCAAAUAAAGAAACAGGAAACAACAACUAUGCCCGAUGUAGCAACAUCUCAAAAAAUUAAAGCAUUGACGAGACCUGACAAACAAUGAUGGGCACUAUGACUAUUUCAUCAGCAAAAGACAAUGAAAGAAAACAACAAACAACACGAUCAUUGAUAUCCAACAUAGCUAUCUCGGGCACUAGGGCUCCUGAAAUAGCCCCAUUGAUUAGUUUUUUUUUUUGUGGCGGCAAAAAGUAAACAAAAACCUAAAGACGCAUAGAAUUUUCUUCUGACGGUUGUUUUA